GAUGAACGCUAGCUACAGGCUUAACACAUGCAAGUCGAGGGGAAACGGCAUUGAGUGCUUGCACUCUUUGGACGUCGACCGGCGCACGGGUGAGUAACGCGUAUCCAACCUUCCCAUUACUGUGGGAUAACCUGCCGAAAGGCAGACUAAUACCGCAUAGUCUUCGAUGACGGCAUCAGAUUUGAAGUAAAGAUUUAUCGGUAAUGGAUGGGGAUGCGUCUGAUUAGCUUGUUGGCGGGGUAACGGCCCACCAAGGCUACGAUCAGUAGGGGUUCUGAGAGGAAGGUCCCCCACAUUGGAACUGAGACACGGUCCAAACUCCUACGGGAGGCAGCAGUGAGGAAUAUUGGUCAAUGGACGGAAGUCUGAACCAGCCAAGUAGCGUGCAGGAUGACGGCCCUAUGGGUUGUAAACUGCUUUUGUAUGGGGAUAAAGUUAGGGACGUGUCCCUAUUUGCAGGU
rnacentral:rRNA from 1 species